GGGGCCGCGUGCGGACACCGGGAAGGAGAGCCGUUAAUUAACGCACGGGGGAAGCAUCGCCCAGCGCCCCGUGCGACGAAGCGGUACCGCAGAACGGAGCCCGGGGGCACCCUAUCCCGCUCGGUGCCGACAGACCGCACCGUACAGAUAUAGAUAUAUUUGUGGAGAUGUUGCAUAUUCAAGGCAACGUCCGUCCUCGGGCUGCUCACGAACUCCAGGCGCAGUUCCACACGUGGAGCAGCUCCUCAGGGUGGGAAACCGAACCCAGCCGUCCCACGCAGCGCUGGUCUCGGAGGAACGGCGCAGGCAGGGCCCGGGCCGGCGGGUGGCUGGGAACGGGGCGCCGCCGCUCCCUUGGACGGGGGAAGCAGAAGCAGCACAGAGCGCAUGGAGCCGGCCGGAUCUCCUUUCUUUGCUUCGUGGCCAGGGAAGCAAAGCAGAUCCCGAAAGCUUCUGCUGACCCGGGAGCAGAGCAGGCGGGGCCGACGGACUGUGGCCCGGGGCAGCUGCCGUCGCGUUACAUUUUGGCAGGAGACGCAUCCCGCCCGCCCCGGAGCCGUGGGUGGAGCAGAGACAGAGGCCACGACGUCCCACAGCGGCUUCUCGGGCUCAAACCGCCCUCUGAGCCAACGCACAGCAAACAUCGACAGCUCCAAACGUUUGGCACAGUCCGGCAGCUGCUCUGAGGGCAGCACGAUGCGGUCCCUCCUCAGCCCCCAGCAGGAAAUGGUAAACAGCAAAACAAUAAUAAAAAAAAUGUAAACAACCCAGCACCCUGUCCUGCAGCACCAGGACAGCCAAGAGAACAAGGUAUGUUACAGUCUCAGGGGACGUGGAGACACGAGGACAUCCCGGCCAACGCGGGGUCUCGUCUCUAUUGCACUUUGCAUCAUAUAUAUUUCUAUAUAUAUUUAUAAAAAUACAAACUAAAGGGCUGGGGUCGAGGGGGUGAGAUGCAAGCCCUGGGACAGCAGCAGCUCCACGCACGUGGCAGGCUCUGACCUAUCCUGCUCCUGCACGUCCCUGUGUGCCCUGCCCUGGAGUCCCCUGCCAGCCUUCCAGGGGAGCAACCCGCAGCACAGGGCCUGAUCCUGCAGAGAUCCAGCCUGGGCAGGGCAGAGAGGGCAGGGUGCUGAGUUGGUGCAGAGCCCACCCCCGUCAGCCUUCCGUCCCUCCUCCAUCGGCCCUUCCCAGGACACCAAGGCCUGGAUUGAGAGCCACGCAGCUCCUGUCAGCGCCCCACGGCGAUGGGUCGCUCCCCAUGGCCAGCAAGCGCCCACUCCUGGGGGAGAUGGCCAAGACCACCUCCCCCCUCCUCCAAACCAAACCCCCAGGAGGAUCCGCUCAGCCCGG
rnacentral:lncRNA from 1 species